GACGAACGCUGGCGGCGUGCUUAACACAUGCAAGUCGAACGGAAAGGCCCUGCUUUUGUGGGGUGCUCGAGUGGCGAACGGGUGAGUAACACGUGAGUAACCUGCCCUUGACUUUGGGAUAACUUCAGGAAACUGGGGCUAAUACCGGAUAGGAGCUCCUGCUGCAUGGUGGGGGUUGGAAAGUUUCGGCGGUUGGGGAUGGACUCGCGGCUUAUCAGCUUGUUGGUGGGGUAGUGGCUUACCAAGGCUUUGACGGGUAGCCGGCCUGAGAGGGUGACCGGCCACAUUGGGACUGAGAUACGGACCAGACUCCUACGGGGGGCAGCAGUGGGGAAUAUUGCACAAUGGGCGGAAGCCUGAUGAAGAGACGCCGCGUGCGGGAUGACGGCCUUCGGGUUGUAAACCGCAUUAGCCUGUGACGAAGCGUGAGUGACGGUAAUGGGUAAAGAAGCACCGGCUAACUACGUG
rnacentral:rRNA from 1 species